UAGGUUGACAUCACCCAGUUCAGACAUACUUGCUGCACAAAACAAGGACUGGCCAUCAUCACUACAUGUGUGAUUCACCUGGGAAAAUUAUCUUUUUCUAUUUUUUUAAAUUUAUGUUAAUAUAGUGGACAGUGUGUUAUGAUUUACUUCUCUGCUACCUGAAGACACUCUUGACACAUACCACUGGAAUUCACACCACACUGGUUACCAAGAACUGAAUCUGCAGGUAAAUAGGCAGGUUUCCAUGCCUUGAUCCGCCUGCCCGAACACACAAAUGAAUGCCUUUGACACAGUGUUGAACAGUUGCCACUCACACAGGCCACGAUGGAAUCGAUGGUGUGUUUCGUUCUCAGCAAUGGUGUAGACCGCUUGAGUUGCAGGCUGGAGGG